CGAGAUGUAGCUUAAAAAAGCAUUCAGCUUACACCUGAAAGAUAUCUGUUAACACCAGAUCAUCUCGA
rnacentral:tRNA from 1 species